GACGAACGCUGGCGGCGUGCUUAACACAUGCAAGUCGAACGGAAAGGCCCUGCUUUUGUGUGGUGCUCGAGUGGCGAGCGUGUGUGUAACCCGUGAGUAACCUGCCCUUGACUGGGUGAUAACUUCAGGCAACUGGGGCUAAUACAGGAUAGGAGCUCCUGCUGCAGGGUGGGGGUUGGAAAGUUUCGGCGGUUGGGGAUGUACUCGCGGCUUAUCAGCUUGUGGGUGGGGUAGUGGCUUACCAAGGCUUUGACGGGUAGCCGGCCUGAGAGGGUAAACGGACACCAUGGGCCUGAGAUACGGCGCAGACUGCAAUGGGAGACAGCAGUGGAGAAUAUUGCACAAUGGGCGGAAGCCUGAUGCAGAAACGCUGCGAGCGGGAUGCAGGCCUUCGGGGUGUAAACCGCUUUCGCCUGUGACGAUGCGUGAGUGACGGUAAUGGGUAAAGAAGCACCGGCUAACUACGUG
rnacentral:rRNA from 1 species